rnacentral:rRNA from 1 species
GAUGAACGCUGGCGGCGUGCUUAACUCAUGCAAGUCGAACGGAAAGGCCUCUGCUUGCAGGGGUACUCGAGUGGCGAACGGGUGAGUAACACGUGGGUGAUCUGCCCUGCACUUCGGGAUAAGCCUGGGAAACUGGGUCUAAUACCGGAUAGGACAAUGGUUUGGAUGCUGUUGUGGAAAGUUUUUCGGUGUGGGAUGAGCUCGCGGCCUAUCAGCUUGUUGGUGGGGUAAUGGCCUACCAAGGCGUCGACGGGUAGCCGGCCUGAGAGGGUGUACGGCCACAUUGGGACUGAGAUACGGCCCAGACUCCUACGGGAGGCAGCAGUGGGGAAUAUUGCACAAUGGGCGCAAGCCUGAUGCAGCGACGCCGCGUGGGGGAUGACGGCCUUCGGGUUGUAAACUCCUUUCGCUAGGGACGAAGCGUUUUUGUGACGGUACCUGGAGAAGAAGCACCGGCUAACUACGUG